UGGGGAAUUUUGCACAAUGGGGGAAACCCUGAUGCAGCGACGCCGCGUGAUUUAGAAGGCCUUCGGGUUGUAAAAAUCUUUUGUAUGGGAAGAAAAUGACAGUACCAUACGAAUAAGGACCGGCUAAUUACGUGCCAGCAGCCGCGGUAAUACGUAAGGUCCGAGCGUUGUCCGGAAACAUUGGGCGUAAAGGGUACGUAGGCGGAUAAGCAAGUUAGAAGUGAAAUCCUAUAGCUCAACUAUAGUAAGCUUUUAAAACUGCUCAUCUUGAGGUAUGGAAGGGAAAGUGGAAUUCCUAGUGUAGCGGUGAAAUGCGCAGAUAUUAGGAGGAAUACCGGUGGCGAAGGCGACUUUCUGGCCAUAUACUGACGCUGAGGUACGAAAGCGUGGGUAGCAAACAGG
rnacentral:rRNA from 1 species